GGUAUCUUUGGCUUGUACCCAAACCCAUCUUUGACUUCAAAGUUAAAUAAAAAUAAUCAUCGGAUAAUGCAUAGUGGGAAGAGCCCUCUUUCACCAGAAUCAAUGGCCGGAAAUAGAGAAGAAAAAGAAGAAGCGUUGUGUCGUUGUUCAACUUUGUCGGAGUCUGAUGUGUCUGCUUUUGUCUCUGAACUCACUGAUCAACCCAUCCCACCAUCCAUGGAUCAAUCUUCGUCUCUUACUCUUCAAGAACAAAGUAACUCGAGACAACGAAACUACAGAGGUGUGAGGCAAAGACCGUGGGGAAAAUGGGCGGCCGAGAUUCGUGACCCGAACAAGGCAGCUCGUGUGUGGCUUGGGACGUUUGACACUGCAGAAGAAGCCGCCUUAGCUUAUGAUAAAGCUGCAUUUGAGUUUAGAGGUCACAAGGCCAAGCUUAAUUUCCCCGAGAACAUUCGUAUCAACUCUACUCAACUCUAUCCAUUAUCUUCUACGUCCCAUGCUAGCGUUAUCGUGACGCCACCUCCAGCUAUUGCUCCUGACAUGCUUCUCGAUCAAUACGGCCAAUUUCAAUCUAGAAAUAGCGAUUAUGGUGCCAACUUAUCAUUGACUAUGUCGUCUUCUUCGUCGUCAUCUUUGAAUCAUCAAGGAGAUAGACCAAAUUUGGAGGAUGAUGAAAAUAUGAAGAAUAUUAGUAUCCACAAACGAAGAAAAUAGCAUAUUAGUGGCAUUAUAUGCCUCUCCGUCCAAGUUAUAUCAAACGCAUUAAUCGUUGAUGUAAUCCGACGGCUUUGAUCCUCUAAGCCACUACUUAAUCUCUUUAAAGAGUCUAUGGAGUGCAUAUAGCUAGGAUUCAGGCCUUAUGGAUGCAAAAUAAUCUUUAGCACCCUGAAUAUGCAAGAAGGGAUGAAGAAGACUUGGAAAAAAAUAAAGAUAUGUCUUGGACAACGUCCUGAUCGGUCAAGUCGACCAAAGGAUAGACCGCCUGGAUAUAUAAAUGUAAUGUAUGACGACGACAGAAAGCAAAAGAUGUCACAAAGACUCAGAUUGCAAAAACGCAGUGCCAUGUGCAAUACCUCCUGCCUGCCUAUAUGGGGGUUGCGCUUGUACAAUGAUGCGGUCUUUCUCUGCUUGUAAACUUAUGUGUGCACAACAAGGCAAAAACACCAAUCCUGAUUUUAGUCAUUGUGUUUGCGGCGAUAAGUAAAACAAAAUAUAUUUGUAUUGACAAUAAAAUUUGCAAACUGUUGCUGCAUUUAUAAUAAAAAAAAAGCAUCACAAA